AUGCCAUGAAACUUGCCUACAACCUUCAGGUUUAUCCUCUUCGUGUGUCUCUAACCAGUGAUGACAUGUCACCCCAAAAGAAAUUGGAGGGCCUUGUGGCAGCCACCAUCACUCCGAUGACACAGGACGGAGAAAUCAAUCUCUCUGUGAUUGGCCAGUAUGUUGACUACCUGAUAAACAAGCAAGGUGUUCGAAAUGUAUUUGGUAAGAUUUCCUUUAUAACAUUCUCUAAGAAGUCCCAUUUGCUUUUGUGUAAAUGGCAUAACCCUUUGACUUCUCCUGGACAGGAGAAAUGGGCAUUGUGCACCCAUUUCUCCUGUCCAGUAAUGGGUACACAAUGCAUCUAUAUAUAUAAAAAUAUAAUGCUCAUUUUUGGGACACACAUAACUGAAAAACCACUGGACAAAAUGUCACCAAAUACACAUCUCAAUCCAAAGUGUGACCAUCACUAAAAAAAACAAAAACCUGGUAAGGACUUAAAAUCCCCAAAAAGCAAGAAGAUGUUACAGCGUAUGCAUGAAAAAGACUGUUUAGGCCCCUCUCAGCCUCUUAAGCAAAAAAAAAAAAAAAAAAAGAGAGAGAGAGAGAGAGAGAGAGAGAGAGAGAGAGAGAGAGAGGAAUGAAGGAAGAAAGAAAGCAAGAAAGAAAGGAAUAGGAAGAGGCCUGAGACUGUUUGGAAUGGUGGGGGUUAAAGUCCAAGGCACCUAGAGAGAGGGCCCAAGUUGGACUAGGCCUGUAAGAAAGAGAGUGCUCUGCUCAUGCCCAGAGGCACCCUCGUACCCGCCCUUUUCCCACCCUCUCCAAGGAUGUUACCCAGGGGAUGCCCGAAUGUUUUACCUAACCAGACUGGGCCGCAGCAACACGUGGCCAGUUGCUUAAUAAAAUAGAAUGUGAAUAAACAUUGUGUUAGUAUAUGCAAUCAACUUACUCUUAUUUCAGUCCUCCCUUUGCAUGAAUGGGUGAACUAAACUUGGGAAAAGAAUAAGACUUGCGUGAUGUCUGAAUCCAAAUAAAUUACCUGUAAGUCAUCAGCUCUGCUUCAAAAAUGGCUUGAAAUCUUGGAUUGUUUGGAUGCAAUAAAGAAAUAAUCCUGGGUUUGAGCAUCAUGCAAAGUCCGUCCUUGUUUUUUUUUUUGUUUUUUUUUUACUCAUGAGGAAUGGGCAAAAUGGGAGUCAAUAAACUCAUUAAG
rnacentral:lncRNA from 11 species